CAGUAUUCGUGUGAGAGGAGACGCGACCUAACCCUCAUGAAAUUUCUCCCCCGGAUGUGACGGCGCCGCCUCCUCCGCCCUCCUCCCUCCCGUAGUUCGCCGCCGGGAUCCAAGCCGAGCCAGAUGCUGCCUCAGAUCCCGAGGCCUCUUGGCUCUUGACGUCGUCGUUGCCGCUGCCGCUGCCGUCCGCGCCGAGGCCUCUUGGUUCUUGGCCUCCGUUGCCGCUGUCGUCCGCGCUCCGACGGCAGAUCCUUCCGAAAACGUGUCAUUUUCGCCGGUACCCGAGCCUUGGUUUAUAGUGGGAGUGGAUGAGCCGCCACCUUCGUGGGAUCCCGUUAAGACGCCAAAGUUUGCCUGCAGCUAUGAGAUCGUUGCACUGGCAACAAGCACCCAAUGAAGAAAAGCGCAGUCGGUGUUAGCCCCUUAGAUCUGCCAGAAAGUGGUUCAUCUCAUAAACUGGCAUUUUACCAGCACUCGUUUUGAGCCUCCUGCUGAUCUUAUGUCAUGUAAAAUAAAGCAAACUAGGUUGACCUUAUUUGGGAGUCGUUUUCUAUUUUCAAUUCCUACUUGUUGCACAAAUGGAAUGUUUCAUUUCUCCGAGGAGUCAGUUUGCUAUUGAUGAUGACAUGAUUUUCAAUAAAUUGUCGACCUCGGAUCUUUGAUGA